GUCAACGGUCAAAGCGGACGGGCAACACCUGCUCUCGUUCCGAACGCAGAAGUUAAGCCGUCCAGCGAUCCGGGCUGUACUGCUUAAUAAGUGGGAACCCCGGGACGCCGUUGACC
rnacentral:rRNA from 1 species